AUUGAACGCUGGCGGCAGGCCUAACACAUGCAAGUCGAACGGUAGCACAGAGAGCUUGCUCUCGGGUGACGAGUGGCGGACGGGUGAGUAACGUCUGGGAAACUGCCCGAUGGAGGGGGAUAACUACUGGAAACGGUAGCUAAUCCCGCAUAACGUCGCAAGACCAAAGGGGGGGACCGUCGGGCCUACCACCAUCGGAUGUGCCCAGAUGGGGUUAGCUAGUAGGUGGGGGAAUGGCUCACCUAGGCGACGAUCCCUAGCUGGGCUGAGAGGAUGACCAGCCACACUGGAACUGAGACACGGUCCAGACUCCUACGGGAGGCAGCAGUGGGGAAUAUUGCACAAUGGGCGCAAGCCUGAUGCAGCCAUGCCGCGUGUAUGAAGAAGGCCUUCGGGUUGUAAAGUACUUUCAGCGGGGAGGAAGGCGGUGAAGUUAAUAACUUCACCGAUUGACGUUACCCGCAGAAGAAGCACCGGCUAACUCCGUGCCAGCCGCCGCGGUAA
rnacentral:rRNA from 1 species